AAGUGUUAGCAAGGAAGCUGACUGAGGCAGGAAGAUUGUGAGUUCGAUGUCAGACUACACAGAGAGACUGUAUCUCAGAAAAAAACAAAACUUCAGAAAAGAGAAGAUGAGCUACAGAGAAAGUGGAAAAAACUCCCUGAUCAUCCACUAGCAGAGUUUGGAAACUUCUUUUUGGAAUGCCUCAUUAAAUCUAAAUUUCCCUUGCCCUUCAUAAAAUAUCACCCCGGCUUCUUCUCUAUGGUGGCUCUGACCAGCAUCUCAUUGAUCAUCACCUCUAUUCUCUCAUUACCACAGAUGUCAGGUAUUUUGUUCUGGCAAUAAAAG